GACGAACGCUGGCGGCGUGCCUAAUACAUGCAAGUCGAGCGAAUGGAUUAAGAGCUUGCUCUUAUGAAGUUAGCGGCGGACGGGUGAGUAACACGUGGGUAACCUGCCCAUAAGACUGGGAUAACUCCGGGAAACCGGGGCUAAUACCGGAUAAUAUUUUGAACUGCAUGGUUAAAAAUUGAAAGGAGGCUUCGGCUGUUACUUAUGGAUGGACCCGCGUCGCAUUUGCUAGUUGGUGAGGUAACGGCUCACCAAGGCAACGAUGCGUAGCCGACCUGAGAGGGUGAUCGGCCACACUGGGACUGAGACACGGCCCAGACUCCUACGGGAGGCAGCAGUAGGGAAUCUUCCGCAAUGGACGAAAGUCUGACGGAGCAACGCCGCGUGAGUGAUGAAGGCUUUCGGGUCGUAAAACUCUGUUGUUAGAGAAGAACAAGUGCUAGUUGAAUAAGCUGGCACCUUGACGGUACCUAACCAGAAAGCCACGGCUAACUACGUGCCAGCCGCCGCCGUAA
rnacentral:rRNA from 1 species